rnacentral:rRNA from 1 species
CUAAGCGUACACGGUGGAUGCCCUGGCAGUCAGAGGCGAUGAAGGACGUGCUAAUCUGCGAUAAGCGCCGGUAAGGUGAUAUGAACCGUUAUAACCGGCGAUUUCCGAAUGGGGAAACCCAGUGUGAUUCGUCACACUAUCAUUAACUGAAUCCAUAGGUUAAUGAGGCGAACCGGGGGGACUGAAACAUCUAAGUACCCCGAGGAAAAGAAAUCAACCGAGAUUCCCCCA